AUUUCACACAAACACACAGCAAGCUGCUCUCUGACAAAAAGAACUUCUUCUGGCUGAUGCUGAGCUUUAAACUCACAGAGCAUCACCAUGGAAACCGUGUCAGUCGUGCUCUUUCUGCUAUCAGCUUUUACUCCUCCAGUCCAGAACCAACUCACUUCACUCCAUUACAUUCCGGGUCGCAUGAAUCAGACUGACGCUCGGGAAGCUUGC